GGUUGAUCCUGCCAGUAGUCAUAUGCUUGUCUCAAAGAUUAAGCCAUGCAUGUCUAAGUACAGGCUUUGGUACAGCGAAACCGCGAAUGGCUCAUUAAAUCAGCUAUAAUUUAUUAGAUUGUUCUUUACUUGGAUAACUGUGGGAAUUCUAGAGCUAAUACAUGCACAGAAGCUCCGACCUUCGGGAAGGAGUGCAGUUAUUAGACCAAAACCAGCCGAGCUUCGGCUCGAACUGUUUGGUGACUCUGGAUAACGAUGAGCGGAUCGCAUGGCCUUGAGCCGGCGACGCAUCUUUCAAGUGUCUGACCUAUCAACUGACGAUGGUACGCGAUAUGCCUACCAUGGUGAUAACGGGUAACGGAGAAUAAGGGUUCGACUCCGGAGAGGGAGCCUGAGAAAUGGCUACCACAUCCAAGGAUGGCAGCAGGCGCGCAAAUUACCCACUCUCAGUACGAGGAGGUAGUGACGAAAAAUAACAAUGCGGGACUCAUCAGAGGCCUCGCAAUUGGAAUGAGCGCACUUUAAAUCGUUCGACGAGGAUCUAUUGGAGGGCAAGUCUGGUGCCAGCAGCCGCGGUAAUUCCAGCUCCAAUAGCGUAUAUUAAAGUUGUUGCAGUUAAAAAGCUCGUAGUUGGAUCUGGGGUUCGGGUCGGCGGUUUGCCGCUUCGGCGGCUACUGCCGUGCUCGACUCUUACUAGCCGGUGCGUCUUGCGGUGCUCUUCAUCGAGUGCCGUAGGAGCCUGGCAUGUUUACUUUGAAAAAAAUUAGAGUGCUCAAAGCAGGCGAUUCCGCCUGAAUAGUGUUGCAUGGAAUAAUGGAAUAGGACCUCGGUUCUAUUUUGUUGGUUUUCGGAACUUGAGGUAAUGAUUAAGAGGGACGGUCGGGGGCAUUCGUAUUUCGGUGUUAGAGGUGAAAUUCUUGGAUCGCUGAAAGACGGACAAAUGCGAAAGCAUCUGCCAAGAACGUCUCCAUUAAUCAAGAACGAAAGUCAGAGGUUCGAAGACGAUCAGACACCGUCCUAGUUCUGACCAUAAACGAUGCCAACUAGCGAUCCGCAGUGGUUGCUAUAAACGGACUCUGCGAGCAGCUUCCGGGAAACCAAAGUGUUUGGGUUCCGGGGGAAGUAUGGUUGCAAAGCUGAAACUUAAAGGAAUUGACGGAAGGGCACCACCAGGAGUGGAGCCUGCGGCUUAAUUUGACCCAACACGGGGAGACUCACCCGGUCCGGACACUGUAAGGAUUGACAGAUCGAGAGCUCUUUCUUGAUUCGGUGGAUGGUGGUGCAUGGCCGUUCUUAGUUGGUGGAGUGAUUUGUCUGGUUAAUUCCGAUAACGAACGAGACUCUAGCCUGCUAACUAGUUGCGCCGUGUUCAUACGCGGCUGUAGACUUCUUAGAGGGACAG
rnacentral:rRNA from 1 species